UGGGGAAUAUUGGACAAUGGGGGCAACCCUGAUCCAGCCAUGCCGCGUGAGUGAUGAAGGCCCUAGGGUUGUAAAGCUCUUUCAGCGAGGAGGAUAAUGACGUUACUCGCAGAAGAAGCCCCGGCUAACUUCGUGCCAGCAGCCGCGGUAAUACGAAGGGGGCUAGCGUUGUUCGGAAUCACUGGGCGUAAAGCGCACGUAGGCGGACUGAUUAGUCAGGGGUGAAAUCCCGGGGCUCAACCCCGGAACUGCCUUUGAUACUGUCAGUCUUGAGUCCGAGAGAGGUGAGUGGAACUCCGAGUGUAGAGGUGAAAUUCGUAGAUAUUCGGAAGAACACCAGUGGCGAAGGCGGCUCACUGGCUCGGUACUGACGCUGAGGUGCGAAAGCGUGGGGAGCAAACAGGAUUAGAUACCCCCGUAGUCC
rnacentral:rRNA from 1 species